GUUAAUGUAGCUUAACCGUUCAAAACAAGACACUGAAAAUGUCUAGAUGGGUAUGCACAAACCCAUAAACA
rnacentral:tRNA from 1 species